UACCUGUCGGAACAUGGAGGAGGAGCUGGCAACAACUGGGCCAGCGGAUUCUCCCAGGUGUCCUAGCGACCAUUCCAGAGACCUUUGAUAUUCCCAUCCAGAGGGUGAGAAAAUUCAUGAAGACAUCUUUGACAUCAUAGACCGAGAAGCAGAUGGAAGUGACAGUUUGGAGGUGAAGUUAUGGAGUGGGGGAAGGAAUGGGCAGGGAGGCCGAAGAGUGCUGGGGACAGGUCAGGAGGUGGCCUGGAUAGGUAAUAUGAGGGGAGCAAUUCAAUUCAAAACCCGUUUAUGGAGCAUCAGAUGUGGGAUAUUGAGGUGAAUAAGAUAUAAUCUUUGUUCUCAAGGAAGUCAUAAAUCUGAAUGGCACCGGCCCCUUAGGCAUGAGUCAUUCAGCUGCUUCUCCAGCUCCAAACCUUCCCAAGGAGCCUCAGCCUGGAUGCAUAAGAGGAAGCUUUGAGACAUUGGCGUUUUGGGAAUGGAGAAUGAACCAAGCCGAAGUCUCUCCCCCAGAUCCUUGGAGACUGCCUCUCCAUCUCUCCCCAUGCUGGGUGCGAUAUGUUCCUGGCUUACAGCUCUUAUAACCCAUGUAAUUUCCUAAGGGACUAGAGCAAUAAUAGUAUGUUUUGUUAAAAUAUUUGACCUUUUGUCCUUGGUUUCUGAAACAGCUCCAGAACAGCUCCAGAGUGAUAAAGGUGAAAGACAGUCUUUUGUUAUUUAUAACAAGCCCGUUUCUUUUAGUUUAAUCUUUCAUUUUAUUUUAAUUAGUUAAUUUUACUAACCACUGUACUAAGGAGGAACAAGUGCCUUUCAACCAAACCUGAGCUUAUGUUAAAGAGGCGAUUUUUGGAAAGUCCCA
rnacentral:lncRNA from 10 species